UGGGGAAUUUUGGACAAUGGGCGAAAGCCUGAUCCAGCAAUGCCGCGUGUGUGAAGAAGGCCUUCGGGUUGUAAAGCACUUUUGUCCGGAAAGAAAUCCUUGGCUCUAAUACAGUCGGGGGAUGACGGUACCGGAAGAAUAAGCACCGGCUAACUACGUGCCAGCAGCCGCGGUAAUACGUAGGGUGCAAGCGUUAAUCGGAAUUACUGGGCGUAAAGCGUGCGCAGGCGGUUUGCUAAGACCGAUGUGAAAUCCCCGGGCUCAACCUGGGAACUGCAUUGGUGACUGGCAGGCUAGAGUAUGGCAGAGGGGGGUAGAAUUCCACGUGUAGCAGUGAAAUGCGUAGAGAUGUGGAGGAAUACCGAUGGCGAAGGCAGCCCCCUGGGCCAAUACUGACGCUCAUGCACGAAAGCGUGGGGGAGCAAAACAGGAUUAGAUACCCUGGUAGUCCACGCCCUAAACGAUGUCAACUAGUUGUUGGGGAUUCAUUUUCCUUAGUAACGUAGCUAACGCGUGAAGUUGACCGCCUGGGGAGUACGGUCGCAAGAUU
rnacentral:rRNA from 1 species